rnacentral:rRNA from 1 species
UACGGAGGGGGCUAGCGUUGUUCGGAAUUACUGGGCGUAAAGGGCACGUAGGCUGGCUGUUAAGUCGGUGGUGAAAUCCCGAGGCUCAACCUCGGAAUUGCCUUCGAUACUGACGGUCUUGAGUGCGGGAGAGGUGAGUGGAAUUCCCAGUGUAGAGGUGAAAUUCGUAGAUAUUGGGAAGAACACCAGUGGCGAAGGCGACUCGCUGGACAAGUAUUGACGCUGAGGUGCGAAAGCGUGGGGAGCAAACAGG